ACGAGAGUCGAUAGAAACUAACUUGCCGAGACUACAAGUUUCGAUUCCUUAUAGAGCAUUUUCGAUACAAUUGUGUCCGUAUCAGUGAAAGUCGAUGCGUUCCUGGAAAUGCGAACGGAUUGAGUUUCAUGUUCUCUUUUCUGCAGCAGAAUAUUUCAGUGGCUUUUCAGAACUUCAUUCUAGUGGCGACAGUUUGCCUUUGCUGUAGUGUAUGGCAAGAACCCAGAACACAGUCAUGUUUAUUGCAGAUCUACUGCAGGGCUUGUUCCGCGGGUUUAGUGCAGAUCUACUGCAGGGCUUGUUCCUCGGGUUUAUUGCAAAUCUACUGCAGGGCUUGUUCCUCGGGUUUAUUGCAGAUCUACUGCAGGGCUUGUUCCGCGGGUUUAUUGCAGAUCUACUGCAGGGCUUGUUCCGCUGCCACUGCUGAUAUACAGUCAGUUCUGUGACUGUUGGAGAGCCAGAGAGACCAAGCUUCAAGAGAGGACAUGAGAUGAUCAUGAUGAUGGUACACAGAACACGGAUUGUCAAGUGCACCGUGCAGUGAAGUCACUCCACAACACGGCACAAAGGGAGUCUAUCCAGCAGAUCGUGGCAGCCAGCGUGGCAGCAGCCCUCAGCGGCAACGCACCGGAGACCGUCACGGAGCACCAAGAAGACGGGUCGCAAGCCGCGCGCAUAACAUCCCGCCGGAUGUCCACCUCCCGCCGUAGGAUCGCCUACAGACACCACCGCCGCAAGCAAUGGCUCCGCGAGCCAACGCUUCGAAGCCCGCUGUCUAUUGUUCUGUGUGCCUAUCCAAGGUCGCUAGCCCCGCUCGCAUUACAUCCCGCCGAACAUAUAACUCCCGCCGGAGAAUCGCUUACAGACACUGCCGCUGCAAGCAACGGCUCCACCGAACCAAGGCUUCGCCGCCUGCUGUCUGUUGUUCUGUGUGUCUGUCCAGGGUCACCAUCCCCGCUUGCAUAACAUCCCGCCGGAUGUCCACCUCCCGCCGGAGGAUCGCUUACCGCCGAAAGUAACGGCUACGCAAGCCAACGCUUACGUGCCACCCCCAUGCGUCCACCCGCAAGGCUAAGUACCUAUGGGUUAGGCCAAUAGCAGAGGCUCCCACCCCACAGGGCUGGGGGAGGGGGGCUCUCGGGUCGUAUUUGCAUUAGCCCCACAGGAUGAGGGCGAACCUCUGCCAAACCAGUACAGGAACGCCCCGCCGAGGUCAGGGGGAGAUUUCCCACUAGCAUAAACCACGGGUCCUCUGCUUACAAUCCGCAGCCACGCCGCCGAGCCAGUGUGUUCCGGGAAGCGGGCCGCUGUUCGGCGACCCGGUGCAGCACACAUACACCGCAGCGCGGCCGACCUACCAUCCUGCCUGUUUAGGAAACAUGCGCGUGUGCCUGCGUAUGGGUGUGUGCGUUUUGUGUUGCAUGCACUUGUGCCUGUGUCCUUCUAGGCUCGCUAGCCGCCGCUCUCUCAGCGAGAGCAGAGCACCUGAUUGCCAACUCGGUAGCCACUGGCACACAGCGCACGUACGCCCCAGGCUGGCGUGCAUUCCUGGAGUUCAUGGGUCGCAUGCGCCGCGACGCACAUCACCCAGAUCAGAACAAUGUCCUGCUGUUCGCUGCCGCAAUGUCUCACUCAGUCAGCGCCAGCACUCUGAGAGUCUACCUGGCCGCGAUCGAAUAGCACCUCCUCCACAUGCGAGACCCGGUCUGGGUUAUAUCCUCAAGCCGCAUCACAGCCCUGCUCAAGGGCUUAGAGAGGGAGAGAGCGUCGCUUCCCAGGCAUCCGUCAGCACGCCCUCAGCGCCAAGCGAUCACCGUCCACCAGCUGAAGGCUCUCCGCCAGUUCUUGGAUCGGUCCUUGUACUCCCCGGCAGACAAACUAAUGCUAUGGGCUGCUCUUACGACAGCCUUCCACGGCCUGCUGCUGCGUGUGAGUGAGUACACGUCGCUGUCACCACACGUUCCCGGUUAGACCAGCAGGAGGCCUAUCUGCAGCUCCAGAGGAAUAACACGUCUCAAUUAACAACAGGCGGGGAGGUAGCGCUGCAUCGCUACGCUGACCCCGCACUAUGUCCCGUCCGAGCCCAGGCUUACGUUCGGUCCAGCAAAUGGAGCAAUGACAAGCAACCCUAUUCAAGUUUCAGGAUGGUCGCCAUCUCACGCCGAACGACAUCAAUGCUGUCCUACACAAAGUGCUAGGUCCAAGCAUCAGCAGCCAUUCCUUACGCGCCGGGGGAGCCACACACAUGGUGGAUCGAGGCGCACCAGAGUAUGCCCUGAUGGCUGCAGGCCGCUGGUCCAGCAGGGCAUAUCGCACGUACAUUCUCAGGCCCGCAGGCAUGCCACAGCACUACUAGAGCCUGCGUGUCGCAAGCCAUUCGGUACCUUUAUUGGAGGUACGGGUGCUGCUGAUGGGCGCCGCAUAUUGCACGCACAUCGGCACCAUUGAACUAUUCAUGUGUACUAAGAUUUAGUAUUCCGCUGCCAUAGCAACCUAGUAGUACACGUAGCCGUUCUGACGGCGCAGGACCCCGCGGGUCGCUUCUGCUGUCCUUGCCUCUCUGAUGUGUGAUAUGUGUACAUCAUUUAUAAUCAUAACCUCAUACUGAGUACAUGUACGUCAUACUUGAUUACCGAUCACAGGCUCAUGAUUAUUCACGCUGGAAUAAACGCUUGCGACACCCCA